rnacentral:rRNA from 1 species
AACGUAGGUUCCGAGCGUUAUCCGGAUUUACUGGGCGUAAAGCGUGUUCAGGCGGCUCAGCAAGUCGGGCAUGAAAUCUCUCGGCUCAACCGGGAGGGGUUGUCCGAUACUGCUGGGCUUGAGGGCAGCAGAGGGUGGUGGAAUUCCGGGUGUAGUGGUGAAAUGCGUAGAUAUCCGGAGGAACACCAGUGGCGAAGGCGGCCACCUGGGCUGUACCUGACGCUCAAACACGAAAGCUAGGGGAGCGAACGGG